GUAAAGUAACUUUUUUGGAAACAAAUUUGAGGAUUUACAACAUUUGUUUCAAUGGGAGUGGUUGGUAUCUUUAUUUAUUUAAAUAGUUUUACAUACAAGGUUUCACAAAUACAUGAUAUAAUCACUGUAAUUCAUGAUUAUUUAGAAAUGUUUUGUUUAUCUAAUAUUAUCUCAUUUAUGUAAUAUGUUUACAGUCUGAAUUUCUUUACACUGAAAAUCUACCUGCUUACUGUCACUUGUGUAAGUUUCAUAAAAGUCAUGUUAAAUAUUUUAAUUCAUGAAGGAAUUUGAAAUUAAAUUAAUAAUAACAUAUUUUGUACAUUUGAUGAAAUAUUAAUUAUCCAGUUUAAGUAGAAAUAAAGUGACUUUUCAGUGGAUAGAUGCUUGUUCACAUUGCAGGAGGUUUUUGUACGGCCACUUAAUGAGUUUGUAUCACUGUGAUACACUUUUGGUGGAGGAACCAAACUCAUCUUCUACUCUGGUCCCAUGGUCAGGCCCUCAGUCUCUCUGCUUCCCCCCUCCUCUGAGCAGCUCUCUGGGGGCUCGGCCACGCUGGCCUGCCUGCUGAGCGGCUAUGCUCCUCAGGGAGCCGUGGUGAGCUGGGAGGUGGACGGUACAGAGGUGACAGAGGGGGUCCUGAGCAGCUCAGAGGAGGAGAAGAGCGGACGCUACAGCAGCAGCAGCACCCUGAACCUGAACCAGGAUCGCUGGAUGAAAGGAGAGCUGUACUCCUGCAGGGUCCUCCAUCAUGACCACAGCCAGAUCCAGUCCCUCCGCAGGAGCAAGUGUUAGGUGUAGAGGGGCUGGCUGAAGUCCAGGACAGGAGCUGUGUGUGGGGGGAGCAGGAGGAACACACCUGCUGAUCUGAUCAAUAUGACUUUUAAUGUUUGUAGAGUAAACUGAAGCUUUGUGUGACGGUAACAACUUAGAGAGUAAUGUGUGUAGCUCAGCAGCUAGAUGUGAGUGUGCUUAAUAACUGUGCUGUUGA